CCUACGGGGGGCAGCAGUGGGGAAUAUUGGACAAUGGGGGGAACCCUGAUCCAGCCAUGCCGCGUGUGUGAAGAAGGCCCUCGGGUUGUAAAGCACUUUCAGUGAGGAAGAACGCCUGGUGGUUAAUACCCAUCAGGAAAGACAUCACUCACAGAAGAAGCACCGGCUAACUCCGUGCCAGCAGCCGCGGUAAUACGGAGGGUGCGAGCGUUAAUCGGAAUUACUGGGCGUAAAGCGCGCGUAGGUGGCUUGAUAAGCCGGUUGUGAAAGCCCCGGGCUCAACCUGGGAACGGCAUCCGGGACUGUCAAGAGAGAGGGCAGGAGCGGAAGGGAGAAGUCCCGGUGUAGCGGUGAAAUGCGUAGAGAUCGGGAGGAAUACCAGUGGCGAAGGCGGCCUUCUGGACUGACACUGACACUGAGGUGCGAAAGCGUGGGUAGCAAACAGGAUUAGAUACCCCAGUAGGC
rnacentral:rRNA from 1 species